CUGAUGGCCAGGCAUAGGAGACCCUGAGGUUCAGCCCCUAACGGAGGCAGCUUCUUUGUAAUGAAGACCCAAGAUACAUGUAAAAGGAAUUGGAAAUGAGGAGGUAGCACCAUAUGAGCUGCCAGUUAUCCUCAGAGCACCGGCAAGUGCUUUGGGCACCACAGUUUGAGGACGUCUGCCCUAGAAAGCAGUGACUAUUGGAUCUGUGCAUAUACUCCUGUGGAUCUUAACAUUUAGAAUACAGUUACAUUAAAGACCAGGGCUUCUUCAACCUUGUUCAAAGUCUUAGGUUGCUCUUCAAGCCCAUCGAAGAACUACAGUUAGCCUACCUCUCGCUCUGUGAGCCUCCUUGAACCUGGGAAGGAAGAAGCAGAGAAUCAGGUCCCCUGUAGACCACUCCUAUACAUUGAGACAAUGAGAUCUGGAAUCCCAGCCUCUCGCAUUAUUGUGAGAAGAGUCUCAUCUGGGGAAAGCAGAGAAGUUUGUGAAUGUCAUUUCUGUGUUUCAUCAUCUUCCCAGCAACGGAAUCCUCUCAAAAGUC